GCUCCCGUAGCUCAAAUGGAUAGAGCAGCGGUUUCCUAAACCGCGGAUCCCCGUUCGAUUCGGGGCGGGAGUACCA
rnacentral:tRNA from 1 species